GAUGAAGAACGUAGCAAAAUGCGAUACUUGGUGUGAAUUGCAGAAUCCCGUGAACCAUCGAGUUUUUGAACGCAAGUUGCGCCCGAAGCCUUUUGGCCGAGGGCACGUCUGCCUGGGCGUCACGCAUCGCGUCGCCCCCCCACAAUUCUCUGUAAAGGGAACUCGUGUUUUGGGGGCGGAUAUUGGUCUCCCGUGCUCAUGGCGUGGUUGGCCGAAAUAGGAGUCCCUUCGAUGGACGCACGAACUAGUGGUGGUCGUAAAAACCCUCGUCUUUUGUUUCGUGCUGUUAGUCGCGAGGGAAACUCUAAGAAAACCCCAGCGUGUCGUCUUUUGACGGCGCUUCGACCGCGACCCCAGGUCAGGCGGGACUACCCGCUGAGUUUAAGCAUAUCAAUAAGCGGAGGA
rnacentral:misc_RNA from 1 species